CCGAGUGUUACAGCUCCCAAACCCACUGUGAACAUACCCAUCGUUGCUUCGGCGGGACCGCCCCGGCGCCUCUGCGCGCCGGACUCUGGCGCCCGCCGGGGGCCCGAAACUCUUGCCUCUUCUCGCGGAUUCUCUGAGUGGCACCAAAAGAUAAUGAAUCA
rnacentral:misc_RNA from 1 species